rnacentral:rRNA from 1 species
UACGUAGGGUGCGAGCGUUAAUCGGAAUUAUUGGGCGUAAAGCGCGCGUAGGCGGUCUUGUAAGUCGGAUGUGAAAUCCCUCGGCUUAACUGAGGAAGUGCAUCCGAAACUGCAAGGCUUGAGUACGAAAGAGGAUCGCGGAAUUCCCGGUGUAGAGGUGAAAUUCGUAGAUAUCGGGAGGAACACCGGUGGCGAAGGCGGCGAUCUGGGUCGAGACUGACGCUGAGGCGCGAAAGCGUGGGGAGCAAACAGG